AAGGAAUAUUGGUCAAUGGACGCAAGUCUGAACCAGCCAUGCCGCGUGAAGGAUGAAGGUCCUCUGGAUUGUAAACUUCUUUUAUCUGGGACGAAAACGGGAUUUUUAUCUCAAUUGACGGUACCAGAGGAAUAAGCACCGGCUAACUCCGUGCCAGCAGCCGCGGUAAUACGGAGGGUGCGAGCGUUAUCCGGAUUUACUGGGUUUAAAGGGUGCGUAGGUGGGCUUAUAAGUCAGUGGUGAAAUCUCCGAGCUUAACUUGGAAACUGCCGUUGAUACUAUAGGUCUUGAAUUAUCUGGAGGUAAGCGGAAUAUGUCAUGUAGCGGUGAAAUGCUUAGAUAUGACAUAGAACACCAAUUGCGAAGGCAACUUACUACAUAUAAAUUGACGCUGAGGCACGAAAGCGUGGGGAUCAAACA
rnacentral:rRNA from 1 species